CAAUAACAAAUUAGGUUUCUUCAUUUUUAGACUCUCUUGGGGUUGGCAGAUAAGGGGUUGCUUGCAUUGAAACCUCGCCGCCUAGCUUCUCCUUUCUUAUGAAAUUUUAUCCCUUUCCUACGGCCAGUUCGUGAAGGCCGUUUUCAAAUUGAGGUACACAAAAAUAUGCAGAUUUUGCUUUCAAAUUGAGAGGCGUAAGGACAAUCUUUGUUCAUAGAAAAAAAAAAGCUGGACAGAGUAGGCAUGGGUAUGGGAACAUGAUUGGUUGUUAUAUUGCUUUGGGACGUUUUGAUAUUUUAGAGAUUAAUGAGUUUGUGGAGAUUUUGCUUUUCA